rnacentral:misc_RNA from 1 species
CUUCUUUAGUUUUGCCAUUAACUAUACUAGGAAAUUUUUGCAAAAGGUUCCAAUGACUCACCAUUCAUAUAUAUUAAAAAAUUAAAGAAAACACUUUUCUUAAAAGUAAAAAAUAUUAUGUCAACUUCUGCUUAAUUAUUAGUGUGAUUUAAUGCUUACUAUACGCUUCCAAGAGCAUGCUAAAUUAUUGUUGGUACAAAUAUUAUAGGAAGACAGAUAGAUAAAGAAUAGUACCCUCUGAGGAGCUGGUUCAAGGGAAAUUCUAGCCCUUGUGAUGAUUCCAAACUGACCCAAACCACCAAGAACAGCAUGAAACAACUCUGAAUUUUCCUCUUCUGAACACGUCAAGAUCUCACCCUUCCCUGCUAUCAAACAAGUGCAUGAUUACACUCUUAGCUCAAUACAAUACACCAAAAAAACCCAAAAAAUUUUCAAUUGCAAGUACCCUUUUUUCCAGAUUAGACAACGAUUUUCAAUAUACCCAACAAAGAAAAAAUAAUUAAAUAAUACACAUAUAAAAAUGAAAUUCACUUAUCAUGCUAGAAUUCUUGAUAGUAGCUGCAACCCCUGCAGCUAACACAAGACAAAAAUUGUCUAAUCAUCCCAUGUCAACAGAAUCCCUUGUCUGAUUGAAAAUUUAACAACUUAAAACAAAACAUACAUAAGAAAACUAACGCAGAAAAACUAAAAUAAAAAAGAUCCAAGAAAAACUAAAGCAGCCAAACAAUUAACUAAUGCUAGUAGAAAACAACAUUACAUAGUAAAUUAAAAAUAUAAUAAUUACUCAACAGCCACGCGAGGAAAGGAAGGAAUAUGAAUUCAACCUGUAACAACGUCGAGUUCAUGAACAUUGCUAAUUUGAGGACCGUGGUUAAAAGCUUGCCCACUUAUCCCUGCA